CAAAAAUAAGCAUGUAAAGGGAUAGAAUUUUAUACUUUCACCAAAAAUUAAUAUGGCAUGAUGGUGAUCUCCACAAGACUCCGAAGUAGAAGCCCCCCAAUGGUGAUCCAGAUAGAAGUUGGCUAAGGUCCUUCCUAAUCGGUGUGCAGUCGCAGCCUUGUCUUCUCAAGAACACUAUCGACUUCGAACUCGAAGUACAAUC
rnacentral:lncRNA from 1 species